AAAUUUUAAACUGAUUUCCGCCAUUAAAAAAUAACAUGAAACCUACAGUUCACGACACAUCGCAUAGGAAUUUAAAAUAAAUAUUAGGCCUAUAGGUUUAAUACAUACUGCAUAGAAUCUAGAAAUUUAGAUCUAGUGUUCUGGUUAGUUUAGAAUAUAGUCUAGAAUCUAAUCAUACGGCUGCAUAAAAAGAAAGUUUGAAGGAAACAGAAUAGGAAUCUGCAGAAGCGAAGUGUUUUCCGCACUCGAGAGGAAAGAGGUUGUAGGGAACUUAGAGACUAAACCUUGCCAGCAUACUGGAAUUCUGGUGAUGACAAUAGCAGCAGAUAGUAUGCGGCUCAGUUAAUACUAAAAACAAUUGAUUUUAGUAAUUAGUGGACUAUGAGUGUGUGUUUGUCCAUCCAGAUUUCAUAACUACAACUGAUGUUCAAUAACAAUGGAUAUUAAUCAGUCUCACUGUGCCUAAUCACUGUGCCUAGUUUCAUCCUCAGAGACUGAUGUGUAAGCUUAAAGUAAAGACAUCAAAUCAAAGUAUCAGCCAUCAAGAGGAAAAACAUUCAAAAUCAUAUUGUGAUACACAAGUCAAGCAAGUCUAUGACCAGCAUUUUGAUACAGGCCAAGAAAAAGCUGGAUACUUGAUUGGAAGGGUGGCACAAAAAACAUGGGUUAUCACUAGGGAAACAAGCUCGGAAUACAGUUCACUGUUAGGACAGCAAGCCAAAUACUUCUAAACUUAUUUGAAUCAUUCUUGCUGUUUAUUAUAAUUCAUCCAAUUGUCUUAUUAAAUAUAUAAAUUUAUAUAAAUACACAAUUCCUAAUAUAGAAUUUCUAAAAAUGUUUUAUUAUAAUAUUUAAAAAUGAAACAGACAUGUUCCCAGAACACAGCCACAUAAUGUCAACAUGUUCCCAGAAC